UAGGGAAUCUUCGGCAAUGGACGAAAGUCUGACCGAGCAACGCCGCGUGAGUGAAGAAGGUUUUCGGAUCGUAAAACUCUGUUGUUAGAGAAGAACAAGGACGUUAGUAACUGAACGUCCCCUGACGGUAUCUAACCAGAAAGCCACGGCUAACUACGUGCCAGCAGCCGCGGUAAUACGUAGGUGGCAAGCGUUGUCCGGAUUUAUUGGGCGUAAAGCGAGCGCAGGCGGUUUCUUAAGUCUGAUGUGAAAGCCCCCGGCUCAACCGGGGAGGGUCAUUGGAAGCUGGGAGACUUGAGUGCAGAAGAGGAGAGUGGAAUUCCAUGUGUAGCGGUGAAAGGCGUAGAUAUAUGGAGGAACACCAGUGGCGAAGGCGGCUCUCUGGUCUGUAACUGACGCUGAGGCUCGAAAGCGUGGGGAGCAAACAGG
rnacentral:rRNA from 1 species